UUCACUACAAGGUAUAUACAAUUGUCGAUCCCAGCUUAAUUAAAGAGACAGAAUGAGUUCAACAAGCAAAGCAUGGUUAGUUGCUGCAAGUGUAGGUGCAGUGGAGGCACUCAAAGAUCAAGGCUUCUGCAGAUGGAAUUACACGAUGAGAUCACUUCAUCAUCACGUCAAGAACAAUCUCAAGUCCUCCACUUCCUCGUUUGCUCAUCAAACCAAGAAGCAGCUGAGCAGUAAUAUUAAGGAUCAGAGUGACAAGGCUAAACAAUCCGAAGAAUCACUAAGAAAAGUCAUGUACUUGAGUUGUUGGGGUCCCAAUUGACCCCCAGAUUCCAUUCGGUUUCGUGCUAAAUUUUGAUAAUCUUGUGUAUUUAUAUGCUACACAAUUUUGGUAGAUAUUCUUGUAUAUUUAUACAAUACCUGUGUAGCGUCAACAAGACUUUGUGAUAAUAUCACUAACAUUGAAAUUUUCUGAUAUUAAAGCCCAUGACCACAAGAUCGUAUAUAAGAAACUACUUAUGUUGAAAUUAUUAAACUAAAACAUAUUCAAAUAUGAGUGAUUGACACUUUGCACCCCUUAUGUUUAGGCGCUUUUUCGAUUUGGUAUCAAACAAAUUUUUUUGACAAUAUACAUCCUAGAAUUUGAAUAGCGUUUCACUUUGCACCCUUUUGACCACUCUUCGUUUAAUUGACCGUUAAAAGUUAACAGAUUUACCCUUUUCACUUUGCACCCUACAAUUUUAAUUUUUUUUUUCAUAAGUAUUUUGAAAUAUUUUUUUUCAUGAAAUGCUAGAGCCGCCAAGGGAAACAAAACGAGCAUGCCAAGUUCUCAUAUUUGUGAUGGGAUCUGUCCAUACACUUGAUUUUUCUUUGCUCCUCUUUACUCCAGGAAACUGGAUCUUCUCUACUGCUGUAGCUAACGCCCAAACCGUGUCGUAUGGUUGCAGACAAAACAAAUUAACAUCGCUUCUUAUAUUUUCAAUGAGAGUAGGUUGUUGCUGCAGUAACAGAAAUUUAUUCCACCCGAUUCUGAAAUUCUCCAGAUUUUCUGACUUAGGUACAUAAGGCCUUACGCCUAUAACGCCUUCCAUUAAUUCAAUAGUUGGAGCAUCCAAGGAGCUUAGUGAAUUUGAUAAAGCGUCAGUAAUGAUCCAUGCAAUUCCUUUGCAAGCACAUCAAGAAAUGGAGCUUCGAUUGCUCUACAUUCAUGAAAUAAAAUUAAAAUUAUGGAGUGUAAAGUGAAAAAGGUACAUCUGUUAAUUUUAAACGGUCAAUUAAAUGAAGAGGGGUCAAAGUGGUGCAAAGCCAAAUGCUUUUCAAACUCUAGGUCGAAAAAAAAAUUUGUUUAAAAUCAAAUCGAAAAAACGCAUAAACAUAAGGGGUCCAAAAGUUUCAAUCACUGUUGAUUUUGUGUGAUUGUUCAAUAUAUUUUAUGUAAUCUGAAAUCUCGAUUAAAUCCAUGACAUUUCAAAAUAUUGUGCUUACAUCCAAAAUUUUUAUAUUAAUUUACAAUAUUUAAUAUAAAAAUAGCAUAAAAUCAAAAUUAUAAUUUAUUAAAAUUCAUAAUUUCUAUAUAAUUUAUUAAAAUUUAAUACACCCAACUAAAUUUGACAUAUAUGGAAAUAAAAUUAGAGAAUAUGGAAAAACAAGCAGGGUGAGUCACUAAAUCGAAUUUUGUGGAUCUGCCACGUCUCCAAGCCACGUUUUCAAUACUAUCUAGAUUCUAGAUGACUCCCGAAUGCGAAAGCCGAUAUGCAUCAAAAUCUUUGACCAACUAGCUAGCCCCGUAUAUAGGGACAGUUACAAAGCUUAUCUAAGAAAUAGGUUAAAUAGUUGUAGUAAAACAUACUCCUGUAUCUGAUACAAGUGCAGUCAGCACUCGGCAGUAUGGAGUUAGAUAGGAUGAGUUACCUGAAUCUUUUCUGGUUGGUAUCUAGCAGCGUUGCGCUUGUUUUAAAUAACAAGAAUGGUCAUCACAGGUCAAUGAAGUUUGGUCUCCUUGCAUGUUUUCGUGACAGUCUUCAUGCAGAUAGUGAUACAUCAUUUUGCUCUGGCGAAAUAUGGAAGGAGAAGUAUGCAGGACAGGAAAGAAGAAAUCAUGUCAUCAACAAGUCGAUCCGACAGGUCAUGUUCUUCAACUCUUGGGUCUGAGGUGUUUGGCUGCUACUGGAUUUUUUUUUGUCGUCAUAUAUAUAUAUAUAUAUAUGUAUGUAUGUGUAUGUAUAAAUGUGUGCACAGACAACUUUGAUCAAGUGUUAGUAGUUUCUUGUUUUAUUAUUCCUCCGUGUCAAAUAGUUGAGCAAUUUAAGGUUAAUUGAUGGUCAAGUUUCAUAAUUUAUUUUUUUUAAUUUUUUUUAAUAAAUAAAAGUUUCUUAUCUAAACUUUUAUUUCUAAAACAAAAUUUUAAAUAUGUCCAAAAUCAAGGAGACAGGCCAAUAUCUAUGCAUGUGUGUGCUAUGAUAUCUCCCGUGAACUUUCCAAAUAAACAAUUUGAUCUAUAUAUAUGGGAAGAUUAAUAGAUAUUAUAUUUAGGAGUCAUUUGUUAAAUCUGAACAACAUUUUCUGGACGAUAAAAAUAUCCGUACGAGUAUAUAAUCUGGAUGAUAAAUGAAUUAUGUUGUUUGUUAAAUAUAAUAUACAAGACUUUCUGACUGGCAAAUUUUAGGCGUCAAUUAAUUUAAUUAUUAAUAUCAUCUAGAGGUGUUAUUUUUGUAAUUUAAAUAUUAUUUUUAUUCAAAAAAUAUCAGUAUUUAUUAUUAAAUGAAAGAAAUUAUUUGAUUUAUAAGUAAUUUAAUUCUAUUCACGGUGAUCUUCACCUAUUAUAUUAUAUUAAAUAAUUGAUAAUAUUAUUAAAUAAAAUGUGUAUCAUAAUAAUUAUAUAAUAUUUAUUAAAAAUUCAUCAUUCAUGAGAUUACAAGAUUAUUUUAAUCAUGUAAAAAGUAACUAAUAAAUAAAGUAGCAAGGGCAUGUGUCCAUGACGUGAGAAUAUGGUAUCAGGAAUGGUUCAGCUGAUUUAUGGCAGUGUCGUCCAGAACAAUUUCGGUCUGGUCCAAUUUUAAAAAGAUGGACAAAUAAUCUGGACAGGAAACGUAUGGAUGAUUCAGUUCAUUUCCUCUCGUUCACUUGUUAACAAAUGACCUCUUAGUAUUUGCCAUUCUCUGAAUCUCUCUAUCGAUCUAUGAAUUUUUCUUGAAUCUCUCUUCUUCGAUGUGAAGUUAAUCUACACGGAAUUUAUAUAUGAAUGCAUGUGUGCAGACAUUGGUGUAAAAUAUUUUAAUUUUAUAUAAUAUAAUAUAUGUCAUUGUUCUAAAAUGACAUCUCUAAAAAACAAAAACAAAAAAGAAUUUAAAUAUCUCCAAUUAUAAUUUCAUCACGAUAUAAUAAUGGUAUAUAAGAUAUAGCAGUCAAUAUAUUAAUUAGUAUUUAGCAAUGCUAAAAUAAUUAAUAUGUAUUAAAUAUGCAUGAUUUUAUGUUAAUUUUAUCAUACAAAAUAUAUAAAUAAUAUUUCAUUUUGGAUUCUAGACAUGUUGUAAGAUUUUUUAAUAUUUAAUUUUAAUAAAUUAGAUAAGUUCGAUGUUAAAUUGAUAGGUUAAACUUAAGUUUUUUCUCUAAACUUUAUGAAUUUAGGUUUAACCAAAUGACAAAUACACAAAUAUAUUAUUGAGAAAAAAAAACGGGAGUACUCUAAACAGUAAAAACAGGGCGUGCUGCUUGGUGAAGGGUUGAAAUACUGCCUCCUACAUCGCGAGCGACUUUUAAUAAAAAAAAAUUAUUUUAAGAAAUAUGCUUUCUAUAAUGCAACUCUACAUACGCACACGCGUGUUCCCAAAGAUUUGGUAUAUACACUAAAAACAUUGAAACUCUUCCAACAAGUUUUCAAUUUUAAUUUAAAAAACAUGUGAAAAAUAGGUUUCAAUGAAUUUUUAGUGGGCUUAACUAAAAAUGUCAUUAAAAAUGAAACAAAGAAAUUUUUUCAUGGAUUAGCCAACAACUAUGGAAUAAGUUGCCCUCUUUUUCUCUCUCUCUUGUUUAGUUAUCAUUUUGACUUUUUUAAAUUAUUUGAGGUGGCUAAAGACUAUAUAUUCACUUCUUAACUUUAAAAUUAUAUUUUACGAACUGAAAUAUAUAGUUUGUAUUUUUAUUCAAUUUUUUGAAAAAUAAUUAAAAAAAAUAAAUAAAGGAAACUAAUUUGCAGGCCAGAAACCAGGUGCUUACUGAUUGCUGCACUUUGUAACUGACAUGUGUACGUGGUAAUAAAGCCAAAACGAAAACAGCUGGGACUAUCCUCUUGCCCACCAAAACACUGGCCAAACAAGCGGUGCAUGCCCCUGGUUUAGCCUUCUGUUCCCCUGGUUUUCUAUUCCACCUUAUUUUCAUUCCUAUAUAUAAAUCAGACAUUACACUUCCCCACUCCUCAAAUCACAAGUUAACCAAUACUCAUCACAAGGCAUACGCUACUCUUUUCGGUUUCCAUCCAAGAUAAAAUAGAAUGAGUUCAACGAGCAAAGCAUGGUUAGUGGCUGCAAGCGUGGGGGCAGUUGAGGCACUCAAGGAUCAAGGCUUCUGCAGAUGGAAUUACACCAUGAGAUCACUUCAUCAUCAUGUCAAGAACAAUCUCAAGUCCUCCGCUUCCUCUUUUGCUCAUCAAACCAAGAAGCAGCUGAGCAGUGAUAUUAGGGAUCAGAGUGACAAGGCUAAACAAUCCGAAGAAUCACUAAGAAAAGUCAUGUACUUGAGUUGUUGGGGUCCCAAUUGACCCCCAAGAUUCCAUUCGGUUUCGUAAUAUAUAUUUUGGUAGAUCAUCUUGUAGAUAACUUUGUAGUGUCUAUAUGACACAGAUUAUAUGGAUUCUAAUAGAAUUGAGUUCUGGGAAACCUUAUAUUCAUGUUGUAUUCUGAAAUUCAAUUUUACACCACAAAAUUCAAAGCUAUCUAGAUCAGUCAAUCUCACGAGGUUUCACCAUAAACUUUUCAAUAGUACUGAAGUUGAAAUGAAUUUGUUAAUUCCUUUCCGUCAAAACCGGUAAGAACAAGUCGAACAAUGUCUUAGCAAUUACCUUAUAAAUAUAACAAAAAAUAGUAUCAUGAUGAUUUAAGACAUUAUUUUAAUAUAUCAAUUCUAACAAUAUGUUUUAUUAUUAAAAUAAUAAUAUAUUUGAACUAUUGUUGGAGGGAAAUGAAAAGGAGAGAGCAGAGAGAAGUGUUGAAAUGAGAGAAAACUAAUUUUUUAUUGGCAGAAAUGAUUUAGGACAUGCAUACUUAGUGCCUCAAAAAUAAGGCAUUUGACAGAUAUACAUAUACUAGUAUUUUAAGGCACCAUUGGGACAUUGUUGGAGCACUCAUUUGCUUCAAAUGUCUUAAAUUUUGAUUUAAGACAUCAAUUUGGGGCACUUUUUGACUUGCUUUAAAGAAUUGAAACCUUCGAAAUUCUCAUAUACGAUAAUAUAGCCUAAUAUAAUAACCGACUAAGAUAAAGCCAAAUAAUGAUCUAACAAAUAUCCUAUAAGUAUAUUAAAAAAUGGAACUCGAGUAAUAUGUAUUGUAAUGUCAUAUUACUAUAAAAAUAAUAUAUUCGAAUAAGAAUCGAAAGACGUGUCAAAAUGAGUUAUUUUAUUUAUAAAAAUGACUCAGGACAAACAUAGUACUACCUUGUUAAGAUAUUUGUUGGGAUAAUCCCAGUGUUUUGCGACAACACUACUUUUAAAUUUUUGGAACUUGCAUCAAAGAAAUUGUCCCAGUCUAUAUCACUAAUUAAAAAAACUGAUCAUCUCAUUUCGAUGGCUGAACGAUUCUCACUAAAAAAUUGAACCAACUAUUAAUAAGAAAAUAACUAAAGAUAAAAUGCUCAAUUGACAGAAGAGCAUGAGUGAUCGUGUGUGAGUAUUUGUAUCGUAGUACAAAAAAGUCGAUUCAAUGGAGUUUAGGAGUUUAGUACUGCCAUUUUUUUUAAAUUAUUCUAUUUUAAUUUUUAGAGGAGUGUUAGGUGUUUAAAUUGAAUUUUAAUAAUGCAAUUUUGAUUAAUGUGACAUGACCCAUUUUUUAUAGGAAUAACUAAAUACAAGUCUUGCAAUAAAACAUGUUUCGAGCGAAAAUCGGACCCCCUAUUAAAAAGAUAACGUGUGAAAAAAGCCCGACAAUAAAAUAAAAAAUAACAGUAUGAUGAUAAGGAAACAGGAACAACUCCCUAAAUACCUGGUAGGCGCAAUCAGAAACAGGGUGCUCGCUGGACAUUGUAACUCACAUGUGUACGUGUAGUCACACUAAAACAAUUGGUGCAUGCCCCUGGUUUAGCCUUGUGCACCCAUGGUUUUCUAUUUCUACCUUAUCAUCAUUUCUUAUGCCUCAUCCUAUAUAUACACCAACUCACACAUCUCACUCAUCAAACCACACAGUUUCACUCAAAAGGCAUACAAAUACAAUACUCCUCCUCCUCCCAGCUUGAAUCAAAGAAACACAGAGCUCAAAGAGAAUGAGUUCCGCAAGCAAAGCAUGGUUAGUAGCUGCAAGCGUAGGGGCCGUUGAGGCACUCAAGGAUCAAGGCUUCUGCAGAUGGAAUUACACAAUGAGAUCACUUCAUCAUCACGUCAAGAACAAUCUCAAGUCCUCUGCUUCCUCUUUUGCUCAUCAAACCAAGAAGCAGCUGAGCAGUAAUAUUAGGGAUCAGAGUGACAAGGCUAAACAAUCCGAAGAAUCUCUGAGAAAAGUCAU
rnacentral:lncRNA from 1 species